CCGGCCCCAGCACCGAGCCCUGGGGACGCCACUAGUGACCGGCCUCCAACUGGACUUGACUCCAUUUACCACGACUCUUUGGGCCUGGCUAUCCAGCCAGUUUCUAACCCAACGAAGCGUGCGCCAGGGGCGUGGCCGUGUGGCGGCUGCCGGCGAGAUGGCGGUGGCCGGGGAGGUGGCAAAUCCUCGGCGUCCUGCGCGCCCUCCGCCCGCGGCCUCGAGCGGCCCAACCCGCUGGUGCGCCUCACCUGCCCCGUGUGCCUCGAGGUGUUCGACAGCCCCGUGCGCGUCACAGGAGUGCUAACUUCAUGGAACACCUUCAGAGAUGACACCGGUUUUCAUACGAUACUUUUGUGGAUUAUGAUGCUGAUGAAGAUGACAUGAUGGCACAGGUUUUGAUGUGUUCUUUGCGGGAUAAAUAAAAUAAAAAAGAAGACUAAUUGUCAAACCAAGCUUCCAUGAGAGGGAAAUGGCCAGCAUUCUUGCACUUCUCCCUGUCCAUGCCAAGAUGAACUCAGGCAUUCAGAAAUAUGGAAGACUUUAAUCUUAGUUUUGAAUCCCCGUUUGAUCUUUUGGUAUCAUUCUUGUUUUUUAUUAAUAUGACUAUGUUGCUCAACCACGUAAGGCUAAUUUUCUUUUUUGUUUCACACAAAGCUUAUUUAUAGGUCAGUGUGGAGGAGACAGUUCUGUUUUCCUUCACAUCUGCCUGUUUUCUGAUUGCUUUCUGCCAGUUGUGCUAGUUUGACUAAAGCCAGAAAUACUCCAAAUUGACUGGCAUGAGCUAGCUGGUAAAUCUCUUCUUCCCCUGAUCUUGUUUACAUUUCUUAAAUGAUAGUAUGAGAGGUGUCUUUGUGGCUCUUUUCCUUUAGUGAGACCCCUAGGUGCUAACUCACCAGAUUAGUUCCUGUUUCAACUGGCCUAUGAUGCCUGUGAUUUCAUGAUGUUUACCAGUGUUUGAAUUCUCACAGGCAGCCUCUCAAUUAUAUGGAAAACAUGUCUUCAGUAUGUCUUCAAACUGCAACAUUCCUUAGCAAAAAUGUUUGAAGCUGAGUAAGAAACUAGUUCAAAGCACUUUAGUUCUAUACCUGAUUACGCUUUUGUUCCAUACUUUGACCAUAAUUUCUAGCCUGCCUGGAAAACAGAACUUUGGUGUUAGCUAAAAUGCGUAACUUUCAACUGUUACAGCAAAUAUUAAUCAUUUGUUGGCCUUACUAAAUUGGUGUUUAAAAAAUCGGUUUUCUAGGAAUCUUAAGCCUUAUGCUUGUAGGGGAAUUCAGAAGCUUUUUCAAUAUCCGUAUCUUAUGUAAACUAAAAAUUUCAUAUAUAUAUUCCUAGUUGUUCCAUCCCUCAAGGCAAGCUGGUAGCAAAACUUAUAACCCGUAGCACUUGCACAGCACUGCCUUCCGCAUUGCAGAUUCUAACAAGUAUUUUGAAUUCCUGUUUUUACUUAAAUGUCGCUAAGGUAGCUGAAGCUGUGCUUAGAUUGUUUUCCAUAUACAUACAGUAUGGAGGUAUAGCUUUCAAAGAAAAUGUAAAAUAUAAACAAGUUUGAGUUCAUAGACAAUGGAUACUUGAUACUCAGUUGUACACUUUCAUUGUAGAGUUUCAUUUUUAGUUUAACACUAAUUGCACGAUCUGUAUGCUGAGAUCAAGCAGUCUCAGAGACCCGAACAGAACUUGGAAAUUGGAGUAGUAGUGCUGAGAUGUCUGGUCUCAUUGAACUUGGCAUGCCUGAUUGGAGCAGUGGACCUGCAUCACCACAGAACUGAGUACUAACCAAUUUAUUUGACCAAUAAACUUCACACUCUGCAGACUGCAGCAUAGCCUUACCCUUAAGAAAUGAAACGCACCCCAGCUAAAACAUCUUGAUUAAACUUUGUGUCCAGCAAGUUUGUGGCUUCUAAUAUAUUUAACUUGGUUUUGGUGUGCUUUCCCUAAUGUGGUAAGGCUGGUAUAGAUUCUCACUGAGGUAUCUGCUUGGUGACUGCAAUCUUAGUCUUAGGGAAAAAAUACAUCAGUGUGGGAAAAGUACUGUGUUAUGGGGUUGGUGAUUCCUAAUGCUUGGUCUGUGAAGAGAUUACAAGGUGCUAGUGGUUGGGUAGGGAUUUCUAGGUUCUGGCUAUGACAAAGUUUUGUGAUAAAGACUGGCCUGAGUCUAGAUUUCUGCAACUGUUCUAAGUGCACUUCCACGCAAUUCUGACAUUCAUAGGUAUUACAGUUUUGCACCUACAUAAAAUCUGCUUGAUCUUUGGGGAAUGGAAAAAAAAAAAAA